CUCACGUGACCCCACAGCCCCCCAGGAGACCCCGUAGCCCCUCACAUGACCCCUACGUGACCCCACAGCCGCCCAAGUGACCCCCCACGUGACCCCACAGCCCCUCACGUGACCCCAUGGACCCCCACCCGUGACCCCUCCCAUAACUCCACAGCCCCUCACGUGACCCCACAGCCCCCCCACGUGACCCCUCACAUGACCCCACAGAUCCCCACGUGACCCCUCACGUGACCCCUCACGUGACCCCACAGCCCAUCACGUGACCCCUCACAUGACCCCGUAGCCACCCCCACGUGACCCCACAGCCCCUCACGUGACCCCAUAGACCCCCCCACAUGACCCCUCAUGUGACCCCAUAGCCCAUCACGUGACCCCUCACGAGACCCCGUAGCCCCUCACGUGACCCCAUAGCCCCCCCACGUGACCCC
ensembl:lncRNA